rnacentral:rRNA from 1 species
ACGGAAGGCAGCAGUGGGGAAUAUUGGUCAAUGGGGGCAACCCUGAACCAGCGACGCCGCGUGAGUGAAGAAGUAUUUCGGUAUGUAAAGCUCUAUCAGCAGGGAAGAUAAUGGCAGUACCUGACUAAGAAGCACCGGCUAAAUACGUGCCAGCAGCCGCGGUAAUACGUAUGGUGCAAGCGUUAUCCGGAUUUACUGGGUGUAAAGGGAGCGUAGGCGGUCUGGCAAGUCUGAUGUGAAAACCCGGGGCUUAACCUCGGGAUUGCAUUGGAAACUGUCGGACUUGAGUGUCGGAGAGGAAAGCGGAAUUCCUAGUGUAGCGGUGAAAUGCGUAGAUAUUAGGAGGAACACCAGUGGCGAAGGCGACUAACUGGACUGUAACUGACGCUGAGGCGCGAAAGUGUGGGGAGCAAACAGGAUUAGAUACCCUGGUA